GACGAACGCUGGCGGCGUGCCUAAUACAUGCAAGUCGAACGCAGUGGGGACGGUUGCGUAACACGUGGGUAACCUCCCAUCAGAGGGGAUAACACUUGGCAACCGGUGCUAAACCGCUACUGGUGGCUGAACCCGCGGUGCAUUAGCUAGUGGGUGAGGUAACGGCUCACCAAGGCCACGAGGCAUAGCUGGCCGGAGAGGGGGAUCGGCCACACGGGGACUGAGACACGGCCCAGACUCCUACGGGAGGCAGCAGUAGGGAAUCUUCGGCAAUGGGCGAAAGCCUGACCGAGCCACGCCGCGUGAGUGAAGAAGGUUUUCGGGUCGUAAAGCACUGUUGUCAGAGAAGCGUUAUCUAACCAGAAAGCCACGGCUAACUACGUGCCAGCAGCCGCGGUAAUAC
rnacentral:rRNA from 1 species